CAGUUGCUGAAGCAGGUGCUGGGAUGAACUCCCCGUUAAUGAAGGAGGCUUGGGGAGGCUUAGAGAGGUCCAGACAACGCAGAGAAGGAUUAGGGCAAAAAAGAAGAAAGAACAAGGAUGACAAACAGGGACAUUAUAAGCCCAUGCCCAUCAGGGAGUCACAGAACAGGAACGCUUUGUUAGGUCAGAAAGGGAGGAGGAAGCCAUUGAGGCAAGACGCCCUCGUGCCUUCCUUUCUACGAGCCUAUGGUCAUGAACGGGCACAUUUGGCAGGAGGUCAAAUGUACAGUCUGUUGUUCUUGUUGAAAUGAGACAUGGAGUUGAAGCUAUGGAGGAACUGGGAACAGAAAUGCAGAACUGGACCAAGGACCGGAUGGGAGAUUUGGCAGCCUUUCCAGUAAAGAUAGCAGGGGCAGCUGUACAGAUAAUAAAACCGCCUGGACUUAUCCAUAAAGUCGGGAAGACCAGACUCAAGAUGGGGAAACAGGCAUGUUCCAGUGAUUUUCUGUGAACAACCGGAGCUGGUCUGCUGGGGUCAAAACCCUCCCUCCAUCACUCACCAGUUGUGUGACCUUGGAC
rnacentral:lncRNA from 1 species